GUGAGGAAUAUUGCGCAAUGGAGGCAACUCUGACGCAGCCAUGCCGCGUGCAGGAAGAAGGCGCUACGCGUUGUAAACUGCUUUUAACCGGGAAGAAACCCCAGGACGUGUCCUGGGUUGACGGUACCGGAGGAAUAAGCACCGGCUAACUUCGUGCCAGCAGCCGCGGUAAUACGAAGGGUGCAAGCGUUAUCCGGAUUCAUUGGGUUUAAAGGGUGCAUAGGCGGAGCGUUAAGUCAGUGGUGAAAUCCUGCAGCUUAACUGUAGACUUGCCAUUGAUACUGGCGCUCUUGAGUGCGCUUGAAGUGGGCGGAAUGUGCCGUGUAGCGGUGAAAUGCUUAGAUAUGGCACAGAACACCAAUUGCGAAGGCAGCUCACUAAGGCGAUACUGACGCUGAGGCACGAAAGCGUGGGGAUCGAACAGGAUUAGAUACCCGUGUAGUCC
rnacentral:rRNA from 1 species